rnacentral:rRNA from 1 species
UAGAGUUUGAUCAUGGCUCAGAUUGAACGCUGGCGGCAGGCCUAACACAUGCAAGUCGAGCGGUAACAGGAAUUAGCUUGCUAAUUCGCUGACGAGCGGCGGACGGGUGAGUAAUGCCUGGGAAUAUGCCUUAGUGUGGGGGAUAACUAUUGGAAACGAUAGCUAAUACCGCAUAAUGUUUUUGUUCAUUACGAACAGGAACCAAAGAGGGGGAUCUUCGGACCUCUCGCGCUAAGAUUAGCCCAGGUGAGAUUAGCUUGUUGGUGAGGUAAGAGCUCACCAAGGCGACGAUCUCUAGCUGGUCUGAGAGGAUGAUCAGCCACACUGGAACUGAGACACGGUCCAGGCUCCUACGGGAGGCAGCAGUGGGGAAUAUUGCACAAUGGGCGAAAGCCUGAUGCAGCCAUGCCGCGUGUAUGAAGAAGGCCUUCGGGUUGUAAAGUACUUUCAGUCGUGGAAGGGUGUGUAGUUAAUAGCAGCACAUCUUGACGUUAGCGAAAGAAGAAGCACCGGCUAACUCCGUGCCAGCAGCCGCGGUAAUACGGAGGGUGCGAGCGUUAAUCGGAAUUACUGGGCGUAAAGCGCAUGCAGGUGGUUCAUUAAGUCAGGUGUGAAAGCCCGGGGCUCAACCUCGGAACCGCAUUUGGAACUGGUGAACUAGAGUACUGUAGAGGGGGGUAGAAUUUCA